rnacentral:rRNA from 1 species
GACGAACGCUGGCGGCGUGCUUAACACAUGCAAGUCGAACGGAAAGGCCCUGCUUUUGUGGGGUGCUCGAGUGGCGAACGGGUGAGUAACACGUGAGUAACCUGCCCUUGACUUUGGGAUAACUUCAGGAAACUGGGGCUAAUACCGGAUAGGAGCUCCUGCUGCAUGGUGGAGGUUGGAAAGUUUCGGCGGUUGGGGAUGGACUCGCGGCUUAUCAGCUUGUUGGUGGGGUAGUGGCUUACCAAGGCUUUGACGGGUAGCCGGCCUGAGAGGGUGACCGGCCACAUUGGGACUGAGAUACGGCCCAGACUCCUACGGGAGGCAGCAGUGGGGAAUAUUGCACAAUGGGCGGAGGCCUGAUGCAGCAACGCCGCGUGCGGGAUGACGGCCUUCGGGUUGUAAACCGCUUUCGCCUGUGACGAAGCGUGAGUGACGGUAAUGGGUAAAGAAGCACCGGCUAACUACGUG